UAGCUGCCUUGUGAAGGGCUUCC
rnacentral:miRNA from 1 species